GAUGAAAAGAAGCCAUCACCUACAUCAGGGAUAAAAGACAAGAGCCAUCUUGCUACAGAAAGUCAUGACUCCUAAAUCUCCAGAGAGAAGAGAUCUGGAUCCUGAUGCCUGCUCCAGCAUCCAUCACUUAUGGUCCGUUGUACAAGCACGAGGGAAACCAGGCUGCACACGGAUGCCUUUGCAGAGAGCUGUGGACUGUCUAGGAAGACCUGCAUACUCUGGGAACGAGUAUCUCUCAAACGACCAGCAUUUCCAGACGACUGCUGUUACAAAAAGCAGGACAACAGGGAGAGAUCCACUGGAAGGAGACUAAUGGGUUCUAAUGUAACCAUGAAUGCACACUAAUGCCUCUCAGCACACCAGGCACUUUCCAGAGACUGAGACAGCCACUCUCCUGGUGUGCAGCUGAAGGGCCUCUUAUGUACUUUCUAUUUUCUGGCAUGGAAUAGUAAAAAGAAACAUGCUUAAUGUAGACAUUCAUAAAA